UGUUGAUCUUAUCAGACUCUAUUAUGGAUUCCAUGUGGUCCAACAAAUACCACCAACAAUCCCAGACAAUUUUACACCCAAAAAAACUUCCCUAAGAACUUUAAGAGUCGCUGCCUUUUGCAAGAGUGACAAGAGAAGGACCAACUUUUGCCAACUGUUGGGCAUAUUUUGAUGUUCAACAGUUGAUAUAAUAGUUUGUGCGUGAUAUGAAGAGAUAAACGGUAUUGGCCAAAACAGUGCAGCUUUUUAUCAAACUAUGGACAUCUUUCUUGCUAAAGUAUGCUUUUCUUCUUGUUCAGAGCAUGCUGUUGUUGUUUUUAGCUGGUCAUGAAGUAAAUGAGUCUGUUAAUUUCACUGCCACAUGUAAAGCUCUCAUCACUCCUGCAUGGAUGGAUGGGUAGGUCCCGAGUUCCAGUUUCCAAGUUCCAACAACAAGAAGGGGAAAGAAAAUGUUGGGUUUCAGAUGCUGGGAUAAAAAGACAACAACAGAGAAGGCACGGGACAGAUCUGCUUGCACAGUUUUGCAGCCUUCAGAUGUUUGCUCUGAAAUCACAUGUGAUCUUUUUUACACAGGUUUUUAUUUAUGUUAAAUUUCAUAGGGACGGGUUAGCUACUCACUAUUAGCAAUAUCAAUGUUGUCUUCAACUUAAUCACUUAUAAAGUCCAAUAAAUAUGAGAUUUUAUUACAAAA
rnacentral:lncRNA from 1 species